rnacentral:rRNA from 1 species
GACGAACGCUGGCGGCGUGCUUAACACAUGCAAGUGGAGCGACGAACCAGGGCUUGCCCUGGGGCAGAGCCGCGAACGGGUGAGUAACACGUGGGUAACGUGCCCCGAUGACUGGGACAACCCGGGGAAACCCGGGCUAAUACCGGAUAUGCCCCCUGACAUCUGUCAGGUGUGUAAAGGAAGCUUCGGCCUCCGCAUCGGGAUCGGCCCGCGGCGCAUUAGCUUGUUGGUGGGGUAACGGCCUACCAAGGCAACGAUGCGUAGCUGGUCUGAGAGGACGAUCAGCCACACUGGGACUGAGACACGGCCCAGACUCCUACGGGAGGCAGCAGUGGGGAAUCUUGCACAAUGCGCGAAAGCGUGAUGCAGCAACGCCGCGUGCGGGAAGACGGCCUUCGGGUUGUAAACCGCUUUCAGUUGGGACGAAGGCCAUGUUUUUGGCAUGGUUGACGGUAUGUCGAGAAGAAGCACCGGCCUACUACGUGCCAGCCGCCGCCGUAACAC